rnacentral:tRNA from 1 species
GGGCUUGUAGCUCAGAUGGGAGAGCGUACGGUUCGCAACCGUAAGGUCAGGAGUUCGAGCCUCCUUAAGUCCACCA